AUGAAGUUGAACAUCGCGAACCCCACCACGGGGUGCCAGAAGAAGGUGGAGAUCGAUGACGACAUGAAGCUGCGGAACCUUUAUGACAAGAGGAUCUCUCAGGAGGUAGUUGGUGAUCUUCUGGGUGAGGAAUUUGAGGGCUAUAUUUUCAAGAUCAUGGGUGGCUGCGAUAAGCAGGGCUUCCCAAUGAAGCAAGGAGUGCUAACUCCUGGGCGUGUUCGCCUUCUGCUUCACAGGGGCACAUCUUGCUUCCGUGGACAUGGCAGGCGUGUUGGUGAGCGCCGGAGGAAGUCUGUCCGUGGUUGCAUUGUCAGCCAAGACCUAUCUGUUAUCAACUUGGUGAUUGUCAAGAAGGGCAAGAAUGAUCUGCCAGGCCUGACCGACACUGAGAAGCCCAGGAUGAGGGGACCCAAGAGGGCUUCCAAGAUCAAGAAGCUCUUCAACCUUGGCAAGGAUGAUGAUGUCCGCCAGUAUGUCAACACAUACCGCAGGUCCUUCACAAACAAGAAGGGGAAGACCGUGAGCAAGGCUCCCAAGAUCCAGCGUCUUGUGACACCCUUGACCCUCCAGAGGAAGCGCGCGAGAAUCGCCGACAAGAAGAAGAGGAUUGCCAAGAAGAAGUCUGAGGCUGCUGAGUACCAGAAGCUGCUUGCACAGAGGUUGAAGGAGCAAAGAGACCGCCGGAGCGAGAGCAUGGCCAAGAGGAGGUCGAAGCUUUCUGCUGCUACCAAGGCUCCUGCUGCCUCUGCUUAA
rnacentral:rRNA from 1 species